GAUGAACGCUGGCGGCGUGCUUAACACAUGCAAGUCGAACGAUUAAAGCCCCUUCGGGGGUGUAUAGAGUGGCGAACGGGUGAGUAACACGUGAGCAACCUACCUUCUGUUCUGGGAUAACUCGAGGAAACUCAAGCUAAUACCGGAUAUUCCAUCUGCUCCGCAUGGUGCGGUUGGGAAAGCGUAUACGACAGAAGAUGGGCUCGCGUCCCAUUAGCUAGUUGGUAGGGUAACGGCCUACCAAGGCGAUGAUGGUAGCCGGGUUGAGAGACCGACCGGCCACAUUGGGACUGAGACACGGCCCAAACUCCUACGGGAGGCAGCAGUGGGGAAUUUUGCGCAAUGGGCGAAAGCCUGACGCAGCAACGCCGCGUGCGGGAUGAAGGCCUUCGGGUUGUAAACCGCUUUCAGUAGGGAAGAUUAUGACGGUACCUACAGAAGAAGCUCCGGCUAACUACGUGCCAGCCGCCGCCGUAAUAC
rnacentral:rRNA from 1 species